GCCCCAGUGGUGGAAUUGGUAGACGCGCCGCACUCAAAAUGCGGUACCGAAAGGUGUGUUGGUUCGAGUCCGACCUGGGGCACCA
rnacentral:tRNA from 2 species